AGAGUUUGAUCCUGGCUCAGAUUGAACGCUGGCGGCAUGCCUAACACAUGCAAGUCGAACGCGAAAGGGCUUCGGCCCGAGUAGAGUGGCGGACGGGUGAGUAAUGCAUGGGAAUCUACCUCGCCGUGGGGGAUAACCCGGGGAAACUCGGGCUAAUACCGCAUACGACCUACGGGUGAAAGGGGGCUUCGGCUCUCGUGGCGAGAUGAGCUCAUGUCCGAUUAGCUAGUUGGCGGGGUAAAGGCCCACCAAGGCGACGAUCGGUAGCUGGUCUGAGAGGAUGAUCAGCCACACUGGGACUGAGACACGGCCCAGACUCCUACGGGAGGCAGCAGUGGGGAAUAUUGGACAAUGGGCGCAAGCCUGAUCCAGCAAUGCCGCGUGUGUGAAGAAGGCCUUCGGGUUGUAAAGCCCUUUUGUUGGGAAAGAAAAGCAGUCGGUUAAUACCCGAUUGUUCUGACGUACCC
rnacentral:rRNA from 1 species